rnacentral:rRNA from 1 species
UACGUAGGGUGCAAGCGUUAAUCGGAAUUACUGGGCGUAAAGCGUGCGCAGGCGGUGGUGUAAGACAGAUGUGAAAUCCCCGGGCUUAACCUGGGAACUGCAUUUGUGACUGCAUCGCUGGAGUGCGGCAGAGGGGGAUGGAAUUCCGCGUGUAGCAGUGAAAUGCGUAGAUAUGCGGAGGAACACCGAUGGCGAAGGCAAUCCCCGUGGGCCGAUACUGACGCUGAGGAGCGAAAGCGUGGGGAGCGAACAGG